GACGGACGCUGGCGGCGUGCUUAACACAUGCAAGUCGAACGAUGAUCCUUGUGCUUGCACGGGGUGAUUAGUGGCGAACGGGUGAGUAACACGUGAGUAACCUGCCCUCUUCUUCGGGAUAACGGUCGGAAACGGCUGCUAAUACCGGAUAUUCACGCAUGGGCGCAUGUUUGUGUGUGGAAAGGUUUUUUCUGGUGGGGGAUGGGCUCGCGGCCUAUCAGCUUGUUGGUGGGGUGAUGGCCUACCAAGGCUUUGACGGGUAACCGGCCUGAGAGGGUGACCGGUCACAUUGGGACUGAGAUACGGCCCAGACUCCUACGGGAGGCAGCAGUGGGAAUUUUGCACAAUGGGCGCAAGCCUGAUGCAGCGACGCCGCGUGAGGGAUGGAGGCCUUCGGGUUGUGAACCUCUUUCGCCCAUGGUCAAGCCGCACGUUUGCGUGUGGUGAGGGUAGUGGGGUAAAGAAGCGCCGGCUAACUACGUGCCAGCAGCCGCGGUAAU
rnacentral:rRNA from 1 species